AAGGAUCAUUAUUGAGAUUCUAUUUACACCUGUGAAUUUUACAAUUUGCUUGGUCGCAAGACCAACAACAUUUAACUAUAUUUUUAAUUUAGUCUGAAAAACAAAAAAUCAAAAGUUUCAACAACGGAUCUCUUGGUUCUCGCAUCGAUGAAGAACGCAGCAAAGCGCGAUAGGUAAUGUGAAUUGCAGACGUGAAUCAUUGAAUUUUUGAACGCAUAUUGCACCUUUCGGUAUUCUGAAAGGUAUACCUGUGCGAGCGUCAUUUCUUCUUCACACAGAGUUUUCUUAUCUAGAAAAUUCUUGUGUGUGCUGGAGUUAUGCUUAGCUCUCAAAGGAAUUAUAUAUAAGUACAUGUUAGACACAAUGUGCUUUAUCUAUUCUUUUGACCUCGUAUCAGGUAAGAGUACCCGCUGAACUUAA
rnacentral:rRNA from 1 species